ensembl:lncRNA
CCAUCUGAAUAAGGUGGGACGGAUGUCACUGUUCUGGUCUCCUAAAGGUCUGUCUGUCUGUUCUGUUCUCCUAAAGGUCUGUCUGUCUGUUCUGUUCUCCUAAAGGUCUGACUGCUCUGUUCUGUUCUCCUAAAGGUCUGUCUGUCUAUCUGUUCUGUUCUCCUAAAGGUCUGUCUGUCUGUCUGCUCUGUUCUCCUAAAGGUCUGUCUGACUGCUCUGUUCUGUUCUCCUAAAUGUCUGUCUGUCUGCUCUGUUCUCCUAAAGGUCUGUCUGUCUGCUCUGUUCUCCUAAAGGUCUGUCUGUCUGCUCUGUUCUCCUAAAGGUCUGUCUGUCUGCUCUGUUCUCCUAAAGGUCUGUCUGUCUGCUCUGUUCUGUUCUCCUAAAGGUCUGUCUGUCUGCUCUGUUCUGUUCUCCUAAAGGUCUGUCUGUCUGUUCUGUUCUUCUAAAGGUCUGUCUGUCUG